GGAUGCUGAAGUGUGGUUUACCUACACAGGAGAUGCAAAAUUACUUGGAAAUUUGCACUUCAUUGGAGGCAACCCAGAAGGAAUGACUGAUUAGUGUGAAGGCGUAAAUACUCUAGUCCCACUACCACUGACAAGGACAACUGCGGCAUGUGAGCUGAACUGAAUUUAGAGCUUCUAAAUCAUACAUAACUGCUAGAUAUGUAUUCUUUUAUAUCUAUGAUAUAUUUCUUAAAAUUCAGCCUUUGAGCAGGAACAAAGCCUAAAAACCCUAUAAGAGUCCAGAAAAGCAAGAAGCCACCUACAAAAAUAGAAGGAGGUAAGUGAAAAGUGAGAGCAAGUUCCUAGCACCCUAAAGAAAAAUCUAGCUCGAUUGAUUGAUUGCAGGAUCCCUUUCCAACUCACUGGCUAUGUUCCCCUCCUUUCCAUAAAUGAUCAAGUUGGAUCCCCA
rnacentral:lncRNA from 10 species